GAUUGGGCAGAGAUGAAGAAGUUCUUGGAUGCAUUAAAGAAGGUACUUGGAAUCUUGAUUGGAGUGAUUGGCAUGGGACUAUAUUCAUACUUGUGUACCCACUGAAGCCUCUCCACAAGUCACUCAGGUCCUUGCCAAGGUUUUGGUCUGCUCAAAGAGGACAUGAACUGAACCACAAGCGAGCAGGCUGAGCAUUUUGCAUGACCUCCAAGCUAUAGCAGAUCACAAUGGUUUGGAUCCUUGAUGUUGCUACCGCUGACUUUGAUCUAUAUCUUUAUUCCCUAGGUUGCACUCAACGUAGACUGUAGAGUAUUGUGGUCACAAACUAUUGCGUAUCCUUGUUAUCUGGGAUUUCUUGCAGAGAUGGACACGAAAUGGUGAUGCCACACAAUGAAUUCUAUUUUGGUUUUGGCGGAAAUUAUAUCCAGGCUUAGCUCUCUAGCACGAAACAAUUUCUUUUCCAUUUAGAUACAUUUUUAUGGUUCAUGACCAUCUGAUUUUACUCUCGGACAAUUUUUUCCAGGUGUAUUUUGGAGGAAGAAGAUGGAAGUUCUUAUUGUUUGGCACGUGAGGUACUGAUUGAAACAGCUACUUUGAAUACAUAUGAUGCUUCAUUUUGCCAUUGGGAAGAACUGAGAGGUAUUUGAGAGGUGGUUUGAUCUACAAUGGUGUGUAUCCCUUAAGUGUUGCCUCACGUGACAUACUUUGACCCAAAGGAGACCGAUUCCACCUUAUCGAGGUGAUCUUUUUUGCAUCAACCUUAUUUCUGACAUGAUUGGGACCUCCUUACGGUCUUGUGAGGUAGAUUAGGUGUAUUAACCUAAGGAGGAGCUAUAGGGGUAAACCAUGAGAUUCUUCUAACCAUCCGCCUAUGAAAGGAUUUCUUGAUAUGUUAUAACAAUAUUAACCCUUCUAUUUUUCUCUUUACUUCUGCCUUUUUUUUUUUUGCUUCUCUGCAUAUUCCUUUACAAUAUAAUUUUAUAUCAUCAUUCACUUGUUCCUGUAUAUUUUGCAUCUAAAAGAUUAGGUGUGAGAUUGCAACUAAGUUGAUAUACGUUUGUGUUCCAACAUUGAUAUUUUCAUUAGUGGACUUAUUAGUGGUUAUCGGACGGAACUAAAUAAGAAAUAUAUUAUUCCCUGCUUGGUAUUGGUUCAUUUUAUUUAUAAGAACAACUGUAUAUAUGAUUCCUGUAGGCACUUUUUGAUAUCUCAUAAUUUUGUUCCUGGUGAUGAUUAAUUACUGGAAUAUAUAAUAAGUUGUUUAUGUUAAUAAUUGGCACUUACUUGCUUUCUGAUCUUUGAAAACUUUUCUUGCCAUAAAUGAUGCCUCUUUUGUUGCUAUGCUAGAUUCUGGAUUGUUAUUUUGUUUUAUCAAAUGAUAUCACUGUAAAUUCAGAUAAUGAUGGUAAGGUUUCAGGUAAUACACAUUAUAACAUUAGAAAUUGACAUCCUGAUAUUGGUCGUGUAACUGGGGACUGAGAUCUCUAUGAUAAUUUGUCACUUCAGGUUGAUGUCCAUGACUAGAAUUAUAUUACUCCCUCCGAUCCAUAUUAAUUGACUUCAAUAUGGAUGUAUCUAGAACUAAAAUGUGUCUAGAUACAUUCAUAUUAGAGUCAAUUAAUAUGAACCGGAGGGAGUAGCAAAAACGAGGCCUAUUUCUUAUAUAUGUUUUAUGUGUGUAAAUGCCCCCUCAGUUCUUGUUUGUUCUGCAUACAUUUGUCUUGAUAUUGUUAAACAAACUAUUCAUGAGAUGUUGGUUUGUUCAGGUGUACAUCUGCGGUGAGCAGUUAGUUCAGGUCACUAUAGUUAAAAAAAUUAGUUCAGGCUAUUGCCUUAACAAAGAUUAGCGGAUCCCAUUCCAGGCCGUUUCCUUUACAAAAAUAUUAUGUGGCCUAAUUCCACUUUCCAUAAUAUAUGCUCCUUUGUUUAUGAUAAGACAAUAAUACUUGAAUUAUUAGGCAUUCUUGAUGUAUCCUUUCUUUUGGUGUGUACUGUGUUCUUUUGUUAUGACUAUUACUUCUGCUAUGUUAGGAGUGGAUAUUAGAGCAGUAGGUGGAGGGAGGCUGAACUUGCUAGCCAGAGGAAUGAAGUAGACACUUACUUUUUAUUGCACCAUUAUAUUUACAACAUAGGUCUUUAUUAGCUAUUGUGAGUAUUAAUGCCACUUCAUACUUUUAGACAUUUACAAACAGAAGCUUCAGCAGUUUGUAGCUGACAGACAAUCGAGCAAGGAUGAAACAAAAGCUUUUCUGGCAUUCCAAGUGUGUCUCUGCAUUCCUCAAGUAGUUGUCGAUACUGCUCAUGCUGACAUAUGCAGCCAGUUGUUUCCAAAGGUGAAACAUUUUAUGUUGUUUUUGUGGAAAUAAAUCUACAUAACCAAGCAUAGUAAAAUUAGCUUAUCCCGAAGUUGAACUAAUCAAUUGGAUAACAAGAUGUUCCAUUGUUUAUAUUUGGAAUAUUGGUUUAUCUUUUAUUUUGUUCAACUUAGCAGUGCAAAUCCGAAACAAGUGAAUCAAAGGUAUGGUGUUGUGUUUGUGUUGCUGACUUUACUUCAGUUUAAAGCCAGAUCCUUGCUUUUGGGUAUAUACACAAAAUUGAAGAUGAAUCUUUCAGCAAUUGCCAGUUCAGACAAAUGGUAUUUUUAUAUGUUCAAGUUGUCUGCUCUUUUUUUAAUCUGAAGUACAGAAUCUCAGGCUAUAACCGUAACCCAUUGGUUGAAUUGGAAGUUUCAGACUUUGUAACUCUGAGGUUAACUUAUGGUGUAAGUUACUAGGUAAUUUUUAUCUUCUUUUACCACAUGAACAAUAUUGCAGCAGUGAAUACAUCUUUAUGCCUAUAUGUUAGCCUUUUUUUAUUUUAGAAAGGCAGUAAGGCACAUCAAAAGCCAGGUCAGACUCUUAAUCAGGUUGGCAUUUACUUCCCAAAGCCAGGGUCAGACUCUUAAUCAGGUUGGCGUUUUCACAUGGGCAGUUUUAUGUGCCAUUUCAAGGGUAACAUCAAGAGAAGGGAUGGAAGUGCUAGCGCCUGAUGAAUCUGGUUUUUGGUGGCUGUAAGGCUUGGCUGGAUGCUCAUCAACUUCUAGGUUCACAAAGAUGUACAUAGUCAUUGUUUAGUUUUGUGUACAUUUCCAAGCAGUGGCCUAACUAACUUCUCUGUAUAUCUGUUCUGUGCUGUGUAUUCUGCUGUGUAUCUGGGAUGGGCAGAUUUAUAUAAA